rnacentral:rRNA from 1 species
CGUAGGGUGCAAGCGUUAAUCGGAAUUACUGGGCGUAAAGCGUGCGCAGGCGGUUGUGCAAGACAGAGGUGAAAUCCCCCGGGCUUAACCUGGGAACUGCCUUUGUGACUGCAUGGCUAGAGUGUGUCAGAGGGGGGUAGAAUUCCACGUGUAGCAGUGAAAUGCGUAGAUAUGUGGAGGAAUACCGAUGGCGAAGGCAGCCCCCUGGGAUAACACUGACGCUCAUGCACGAAAGCGUGGGGAGCAAACAGGAUUAGAUACCCUGGUAGUCCACGCCCUAAACGAUGUCAACUAGUUGUCGGGUCUUAAUUGACUUGGUAACGCAGCUAACGCGUGAAGUUGACCGCCUGGGGAGUACGGUCGCAAGAUUA